AUGGCUCAGGAUGAACGCUAGCGGCAGGCUUAACACAUGCAAGUCGAGGGGCAGCGCGGGGUAGCAAUACUCUGGCGGCGACCGGCGAAAGGGUGAGUAACGCGUGAGCAACGUGCCCGUAUGUGGGGGAUAGUCGAUGGAAACGUCGCGUAAUACCCCGUAACACAUGGAACUGCAUGGUUCUAUGUUGAAAGAUUUAUUGCAUACGGAUCGGCUCGCGUGCCAUUAGGUAGACGGCGGGGUAACGGCCCACCGUGCCGACGAUGGCUAGGGGUUCUGAGAGGAAGGUCCCCCACAUUGGAACUGAGACACGGUCCAGACUCCUACGGGAGGCAGCAGUGAGGAAUAUUGGACAAUGGCCGGAAGGCUGAUCCAGCCAUGCCGCGUGCGGGAAAGACGGCCCUAUGGGUUGUAAACCGCUUUUGCGAGGGAGCAAUAAGGUCCACGAGUGGAUCGAUGAGAGUACCUCGCGAAUAAGCAUCGGCUAACUCCGUGCCAGCCGCCGC
rnacentral:rRNA from 1 species